rnacentral:rRNA from 1 species
UGGGGGGAUAUUGCACAAGUGGGGGAAACCCUGAUGCAGCAACGCCGCGUGAGGGAUGAAGGUUUUCGGAUUGUAAACCUCUGUCCUUAGUGAAGAACAAAAUGACGGUAACUAAGAAGGAAGCUCCGGCUAACUACGUGCCAGCAGCCGCGGUAAUACGUAGGGAGCAAGCGUUGUCCGGAUUUAUUGGGUGUAAAGGGUGCGUAGGCGGCUACGUAAGUCAGACGUGUAAUGCAGGGGCUUAACCCCUGAAUUGCGUUUGAAACUGUGUAGCUUGAGUGGAGUAGAGGCAGAUGGAAUUUCCAGUGUAGCGGUAGAA